UUUGACUGGAGAAAAUCUCUAAAUAUUAGAAAAUAGGGAUUCAUGGACUACAGGGGAGACAACAAGGCUCACGGAGAAGCAAGCCCCCUGUGAACCAGAGCCAUGUGCAGGCAGCUGCUGGAGUGGGGACAGCUAGACCCAAGCUUCUCCCCAUGAGUCAGAGCCAUUCAUGGACAGUACGGGCAGAGAACAAGGAUUCACCAAGAAGCCACCCGCUGCGAACUGGCACCAUGCAGUGACCAUUCUGGCAGAUCUGGGUGAUGUUCUUACUCCUACUCUGAAUGCCAAAGCCGUUAAUGGGAAAGCAGAAAGCAGUGACAGUGGAGCCGAGUCGGAGGAGGAAGAGGCUCAGGAGGGAGAGAAGGGAGCAGAGCCAAGCGAUGAUGAUAAGAAAAUGAUGAAAUUAGGAGAGCAUAAGAACUUGGAAAUCGUCACUAAUGGUUAUGAUAAAGACAGCUUUAUUCAGGAUAUACAAGGUGACAUUCAGGCCACUUCUUCCCUGAAUGGUGGAAGUGCUGAAGAAGGAAAACCUGGAGAUCAGGGCUUGGAGGGAACUGGAAACAUUGCUGUCCACCUUCCCCAAGAUAUAAAUGAUGAUCAUGUUGAAGAUGUUUCAGGGAUUCUGCAUUUGACAAGUGAUUCAACAGUGAAGUUUACUGUGAUUGUAUGGAGCACUUUGGACAAAAAGAGUCAGAAUGACAUGGAAGAUCAGUGCUUUGAACUGAUUGAGGAACUGAGGCAGCCAUGACGGAGCCACCAAAGACACAAAAAUGUUCUCCAGGGACUGACGCAGGAAGUCCAAGCGUGAUGGGAGGUGUGUUUCUAGCGAUGGGGAAUAUUGUGGAAA
rnacentral:lncRNA from 1 species